GUGGAAAAGGUGAUUUUACACUAUUGUUCAGGUUAAUUUCACGUGUUCUUCCUCUGAGGGAACCAUUUUCUGGCCAAUUUUGAAAUCGGUUCUUAAUCUGGUUUUGCAUAAGGUUGGAAUCGAUUCUUCUUAUAUAUCUUCUUAUAUUAUAUAUAUUAGAUAAAAUCAAAAGUUGCAUCCUUAAUAUCCUUAAUAAUAUAUAUUCUUUCAAAAUUCUUGUCCCUCA
rnacentral:lncRNA from 1 species